CUCUUCACGUUUCUGGUUUUUUUUCUUUAUCAUUAUCUCUUGAAGUUUCUCAAACUCAGAAUUAUUGUAGAAGAACGGUUUGGUUUAGUUCCUCUUCUCUAACUCAAUAUGAGAUUUUCCAGUUCCAUAAUAUGGUGAAAACAACAAUACCAACCACAAGAUAAGGAAGCAAAAAAGCACCAUCAAAAACAAAGAAAGCGAUUGUGACUAGUAAAUCCAACGUUAAAGCAAGAAAGAAACCACAACCAAGUGGUACAGCUAAGCUUCAAAAAUCAGCUUUAAUACAGGAGCUGCCAUGGAAAGAAUGGGGGACAAAAUUGGUUAAAGGAGUCAACUAUAGGGCUGCACGUCAUAGAGCUGUUGUCAUACCAACUCUCUACGCUGAUGAUUUCACUCUUGAUGCAUUAGCAAUUCGUGAAGAUGUGGACUGACUUUUUCGAAAAUGGGGAUUACGAAAGUUCAUUUUUGUGAACUAUAGUGCUUAUGAGAUGCUUACUAAGGAGUUUCUUGGAACUGUCACAGUUUCUUUUCAGGAUGCUAGGACACCGGAAGCCGAGACCGGGAUAUUAGAUUUCUGCAUUGGUGACAAAGAGUACACUAUUACGAUUCUGGAUCUAUGCAAGGCAUUUGGUUUCAGUAAUGAUGAGAAGAUUCGAUUCACAAAGCGAAAGUACUUACCCAAUAUGGAGACAAUAUGCAGAUCAUAAUGCUUAUGAAGGUGGUUCUAAAGCAGCACAAAUCAAGCAUCCUACUUUGCGUUAUGCACAUAGGAUGUUAGCCAACACUAUGUUUUCUCAGUGAUCACGAUCAUGGAUUUCAUGGAUUCAGAGACACAACCACCGUAUAAUUUACCACAACUGGAAGCGGAUCACAUCAUGCUUUCUCUACUUUCUCCAGAAUGUAAAAGAUUCCAAUGGAAAAUACAAAUCAUUGGUAUUAUUUAAAGUUGAUUUAUUUUAUUUUAAUUAAGAAUUUGUUUUCCUUUAAAUUGGUGCAGCAGCCUUGACGUUAACGUAGCUUUACACCA